GACGAACGCUGGCGGCGUGCUUAACACAUGCAAGUCGAACGGAAAGGCCCUGCUUUUGUGGGGUGCUCGAGUGGCGAACGGGUGAGUAACACGUGAGUAACCUGCCCUUGACUUUGGGAUAACUUCAGGCAACUGGGGCUACUACCGGAUCGGAGCUCCUGUUGCAUGGUGGGGGUUGGAAAGUUUCGGCGGCCGGGGAUGGACUCGCGGCUUAUCAGCUUGUUGGUGGGGUAGUGGCUUACCAAGGCUUUGACGGGUAGCCGGCCUGGGCGGGUGACCGGCCACAUUGGUACUGAGAUACGGCCCAGACGCCUACGGGAGGCAGCGGGGGGGAAUAUGGCACAGUGGGCGGAAGCCUGUUGCGGCAACGCCGCGUGCGGGAAGACGGCCUUCGGGUUGUAAACCGCUUUCGCCUGUGACGAAGCGUGAGUGACGGUAAUGGGUAAAGAAGCACCGGCUAACUACGUG
rnacentral:rRNA from 1 species